rnacentral:rRNA from 1 species
AGACGUCUACAUUAGAUACCCGUGUAGUCCCAGCCGUAAACUAUGCGCGUUAGGUGUAUCGGUGACCACGAGUCACCGAGGUGCCGAAGGGAAACCGUGAAACGUGCCGCCUGGGAAGUACGGUCGCAAGGCUGAAACUUAAAGGAAUUGGCGGGGAGCACCACAACGGGUGGAGCCUGCGGUUUAAUUGGACUCAACGCCGGGAAGCUCACCGGAUAGGACAGCAGAAUGAUUGCCGGGCUGAAGACCCUGCAUGACUAGCUG